rnacentral:misc_RNA from 1 species
GAUGAAGAACGCAGCGAAAUGCGAUAAGUAAUGUGAAUUGCAGAAUUCAGUGAAUCAUCGAAUCUUUGAACGCACCUUGCGCCCUUUGGCCAUUCCGAAGGGCAUGCCUGUUUGAGUAUCAUGAACACCUCAACUCUUCAUGGUCUUCUAUGAUGAGCUUGGACUUUGGGGGCUUGCUGGCCCAUUUGGUCAGCUCCUCUCAAAUAAAUCAGCCUACCAGUGUUUGGUGGCACCACAGGUGUGAUAACAAUCUACGCUUGAGGUUUUCCACCAGGCAACCUUCAGUAAUUGGGGUUCACUGGGGCUCACAAAUGUCUUUCUUCAGUGAGGACAGCUCUUUGAAUGUUUGAUCUCAAAUCAGGUAGGACUACCCGCUGAACUUAAGCAUAUCAAUAAGCGGAGGA